rnacentral:rRNA from 1 species
UUGUCCUACGGGACACAGCAGUAGGGAAUCUUCCACAAUGGACGAAAGUCUGAUGGAGCAACGCCGCGUGAGUGAAGAAGGGUUUCGGCUCGUAAAGCUCUGUUGGUAGUGAAGAAAGAUAGAGGUAGUAACUGGCCUUUAUUUGACGGUAAUUACUUAGAAAGGCAAGGCUAACUACGUGCCAGCAGCCGCGGUAAUACGGAGGGGGGAAGCGUUGUCCGGAUUUAUUGGGCGGAAAACGAGUG